GACUGCGUAGCUCAGUUGGUAGAGUAUUGGGCUAGUAUUCCAAAGGUCGUAGGUUCGAUUCCCACCGUGGCCA
rnacentral:tRNA from 1 species